rnacentral:rRNA from 1 species
UACAGAGGCCCCAAGCGUUAUCCGGAAUGACUGGGCGUAAAGGGCGCGUAGGCGGAUGGCACAGUCAGAUGUGAAAUUCCCGGGCUUAACCUGGGGGCUGCAUUUGAUACGUGUUGUCUUGAGUUCGGAAGAGGGUCGUGGAAUUCCCAGUGUAGAGGUGAAAUUCGUAGAUAUUGGGAAGAACACCGGUGGCGAAGGCGGCCAACUGGACGAGACUACGUGACGCUGAG